UAUAAGCGUAUCAAAUUCCCUGAGAUUUCUAUUAUAAUGCCAAAAAAAAAGGUUUUCAUUAUUCUCUUUCUCUGCGACUCUUUGAUCGGCGAUUUUGAAUUUUGCUCUAUCAUGUUCGUAUAAGAAGACAGAGACUGGAUUCUUCUCUCAUUGAUCACAGAGAGUUUUCUCGAGAAUGCUUUCGCAACAGUCUACAUACUCUUCAGAUAUUUUUGAAGACUCAGAGAUUUCAAAGUGUCUAUGGACUUCAAGAUUGAUCACAGCGAUAAUUGAAAAAUAGACUCUGCAUAACAUCCCUCAGGGUAUAAAAAUGUCAACAAAGAUAGAAACACUAUCAUAAUCAAAACCUACUUCUGAUAAAAAUGAAGAAUUUGUUACAUUAAUUGCAACUCGGUCUUAGGUAAGUAAACAAUUUAGAUAAUCGUUAGAAAAAGAUACCUUUUACUUGUUUAGUAUUGUUAUGAACAUUUAGACGUGAGAAUAUGAUUUUAUUGGUUGUUUUAUGGACUAUUAUGUGGACUAUGGUUUAUAAUUUGAAGCUAUGGCUUAAAUCCGUUGGUCAUUCUAUGGAUUAUUCUUUGGAGCGAUGGCUUGAAUUUUGUUAGUGGUUGCAUGAUCUGUACUUACUUAAAUAUGUGUAUUGUGUGGUCUAAUAUGCUAACUUGAAUAUGUGCUUGUGUGGUUUAUGCUUUGAAGUUGUGACUUUUUCGGUUGUUUGUUGUGUAGUAUUUGUUUGCUUGAAUAUGUUGGUUGUUACACGGUGUUUUCUUACCUUAAUCUUUGUGUUGAUUGGUUUAGUGCUAACUUGAAUACCUUGUUUGUUUGAGUGGUCUAUGUAUUAAUUCAAAAAAUAGCUAUUACUAACAUUGAAAUUUAUGAUGAACUCGAAAAGAGAUGGUUAUUGAUUGUCCUUGGAAGAUUAUCUUACUUGAUUUGUAAUGAUUGCUUAGUAGUGGUUCGAUAUGAGACCUUUCUUUUGUUAUGAGUGUCUGAGAAGGGAGAAAAAAUAUUUAGUGCUCAAUUACAAUUUUCGUUGAUCAACAAUAUCUCUCCAGAUUACUAUAAAUUACGAUUAUUCAUGGAUAUACAUUUUAACAAGUUAUAUUUCAUCAUCUGUCUUUCAAGUUUGAUUGCUCCGUUAAUUUACUAAUAGAAAUCAUUAGUUUCUAGUUUUGUGUUGUGUUUCUUCGUGUCUGAAGCUAAUUUUGUAACCGUGAAUGAUACUAGUUCUCUUGUUUCUUGAAAGAUUUCAAUUUCUUUGUUAUGUAAAGUAACUGUUUCCAGAGAAAUUGUUUAAGUAUGAAAUACUUGUUAGCAGGUUUUUAACCUUUGGGGUUAAAAAAACUGGUGAAAGACUCAUCAAUGUUUCCUCCAAAACAUGAGCCUUUGAUACCAAAUGGUAAUGAUUGUUUCAGGGUUCUUCAACAUCUUUAGCUUUCCUUCAAUCUUCCACAGUCUUGCUUUCUUUAGGAACAUUCUUCAGAAUCUCUAAGAGAGACCACAAGCGUUUUGUUCUUAGUCUAUUUCUUGAAUGUUCUCUUCUAGUUCUAGUUUUUAUGUAGCUUGUUUGGCUUGAAGUUAUCUUCUUCCUUUUAAUAGACGUUAGAAUAUGGUUUAUAGAAACCAAAACAGAACCACAGAAAUUUUUGAAGUGCUUAAAAGAUAGAUGUUAC
rnacentral:sRNA from 1 species